ACCUGAACUUGACCUUAAUUAAAAUGAAUCAACCGCGUGUGUAACCGUGAUGGUCUCUUUCUGGCGGAGUCCGGGAAGUGAACACGGUGUUGGAGUUAUGCUUGACGUAGGUAGUCUAGGAUCACUUCUUGAUCAUACUUUUAUCGACCGUGCUUUGCCUUCUCUUCUCGCUCUCAUUUGCGUAUGUUUAGCCACCAUAUAUGCUAGUCGCUUGCUGCAACUCCACCUCAUAUCUUGCCUUACCUAUGAGCUUAAAUAGUCUUGAUCGCGAGGGUGCGAGAUUGCUGAGUCCCCGUGGCUCACAGAUACUUCCAAAACUAGCUUGCAGGUGCCGAUGAGUCUGUGCAGAUGACGCAACCAAGCUCAGGAGGAGCUCGAUGAAGAUCUUGUCCUUUGUGUUGUUUCGUUCUAGUUGAUCAGUAGUGGAGCCCAGUUGGGGGUGAUUGGGACCUUUGUUGCAUUUGGGGUUCUUCUUUUAUUUUGGUUCCGUAGUCGGACCUUGAUUGUAUUUGUUUGAUGUAAUGCUUUAUUCUUGCAAUUGUGUGAAGUGGCGAUUGUAAGCCAACUAUGUAUCUUUUUCCCUUAUGAAUUACAUGGGUUGUGUGAAGAUUACCUCACUUGCGACGUAUGCCUUCAAUGCGAUUAUGUCUCUAAGUCGUGCCUCGACACGUGGGAGCUAUAGUCGCAUCGAGGGUGUUACAAGUUAGUAUCAGAGCCUUCCCCGACCUUAGGAGCCCCAUUGCGUGAUCGUUUUUAGCGGCCGAGUUGUGUCUAGAAAAAUGUUUUGAGUCAUUUAGGAAUUAUAUAUCGGAGAGUUUAGGAAUUCUUUUUACUUCCCAGUCUCCUCAUCGCUCUAGUAAGGCAUCCUGACGUAGAGUUUUGACUCUUCUCUUCUCAAAUUUCACUAAAAAAAUUUAGGAUCACGCGGGUAUCUUGGAAUCGUUCCGAUGGUUUUAUGAUGAGAACAUUCUCUUGGUGCCUCCUGUCAGGGGUUUAGUGGAAGUGUCCCGGGGAUUUGAGCUCUGAGGUGUUGUCAUCAUAAUUUUAUCGUUGCAAUUUUGGAAUACCUGAGUUUACUACGCCGACAUCGAAAAUCUCUUUUAUGUAGUUCGUUGGUGAGAUAACCUCGACGCCACCCAGUACUGGGGCGGGAGUUCGGGAGUAUCACCAUAACUUGUAUAACGGAUGCUUUUCGAAGGUUGAGGUAGAUGGUUUCUGAAUGUUUCUUGGUUAUGUGCUGAAGGAUGGAUACAGCUGGAUGUAGGAUUUGCUAGAUUUGGGUGAGAUAUUAUGCUUCCCCUGUAUCCCCAACACCUGAUUGCAUAACCGGAAAAUUUCGGGAGUUUCAUAGGUGGGAAUUCAAGUAGCUCUUAGGAUAUCUUUCCGACGGAUGUAUGAUAUGAAAUUGGGGUUCGACGUCUAGUGGUCCGCCUAUUCACGGUCGGUUUUACAGUGGUCUCGUUGUGUCUUAAAGAGUCCUUGGCUAUGCCUACUCGGGGACGCUUCGUAUGCCAUGUGCACUGCCUUGUACAUGAUGGUGCUGUACGAUCGAGCCUGUGUAGGCCCCACCACGAAAACUUCGGACGAAAUCUCUAUCAUAUGUUUGUUCCGGCUUAUUCCGCAAGCCAAUUCUUUGUUUUUGUUUUGAGUUGUGGUAUUCGAGUUGCUUCAAAGGCAAAUGUUGAUUCCAUACCUUCCCCAAAUGGUGUUCUCAUACUCCGAUGUGAAUACUAAUCCUUCUGGAUAGUCGAGAUUGACAUGCCAAUUUCUUUUAAACCGGCGUGUUUAUCUUCAAGUGGAUCCGAUCAUUUCAACUCCCGCAAGAUCAAUUACCACUUCUUCUCAACGGUGUUUGUUUCAUCCGUCCCAAGCUGCCUUUGUUUUUCCCUCCCUCCCACCCUUGUUUCUUCGAGGAACCAUAUUUCUUAUUCAAGUAUCCUUUUAUUCAUGUGAAGUCUCCCCAUUCUUUUCCUUCAUGUUCGUAUCCGGUGAUUGUCAUGAAGAUGCUUACGGAGUUUCAAGUUCGUCACUCAUUUUCUUCCCCGGUGGUUUCAAGUCAAGCUUUGUUGAUCAUAUCAUUUUCCUUGUUUCAAUGUUUUCUCAUGCUGAUGCAAUUCUUAAUCAUUCACAUCUCGCUAUUCAAUUGUUCCGGAGUGCUGAAGAUAUCUCAGAAGGAUCAUCUUGUCAUUCAAUAUCCGUUAAUCCUAUUUUGAGGAUGUUUAUCUCAUUCAAGCCUUUUAAUUCUACUGGUGCAAUAUCUCUUCUCAAGUAAAUCAUUUCAACGGUGUAACUUUUGAGUGGGCCCUAACCCACAGGUCUUUUCCCAGGAUCUUACCUGACUCUUCUAAUGUCCCCGGAGCUAUCAUCAAAUUCUUUUUUUGAAGUUUGACGUAAGAAUGAAUUAUCAUCAGUCAAAUGCUUUUCUCCUAGAUCUUUCACAAUUCUUUUCAUCGUUGGCUCAACCUCUUCGUUUGAUUCUUCUGGAGUGUCUAAAUAAUUCUUGGUGGUGUUUCUCGUUGGCAUUCUCAUCAUUUGAAGACUGAAGAAGAUUUUUUCUCUCAAUCUUGCUCCAUUCUCUUCAGGAUUCAUGGUGCUAGCUUGUUGCCAUCCUCUCAUAAUUGUUUUCGAUUGUGAGAAUCUUUUUCACCCAUCAGGAGAUAUUCAAGAGUCUUCUCAGUUUGUUAUCCGGAGUCCAUCAAUUAAGGUUUAUUCAUUCUCAGCUGUCAGUUAUCAUUCUCCUAUCUUGCUGGUGCAUAAAUCAAAUAUCCUCUAAUCAGUUCUUGAUCUCUUCGUUCUCAUGUAUCUAGUUUGUCUCAAGCACCUUCGUUCAUUUGCUAAUUCUUACCGGUGAUGCACCCCUACUUCGAUCAUUUUCAAUUCUUACGGUGGUUCUUUCAAGAUCUCUCUUCCUUGUUCAUCAUAUCAAUUCAUUUGUUGUUCCAAUCCUACCGGUGGUUCGUUGAAGACGUUCUCAAGUUUAUGUUAUAUCUCUCUUAAUCCUUGAUACGAAUCCGUUGAUUGUCAUCAAUUUAAUUGAUGAAGGACGAGCAUAAUGUAAUUCUUAUUCUUGUUUCAUCCGAAUGAGUAAUUUCUUUUUUUUCCGGAGUGGUUCAUCAUAUCAUAUUCUCAGUUUGAGAUGCCUUAUCUUUUCUUUCCCAGAGUUCCAAGAUCUAAUUAUCACGGAGAUCUAUCAAAAAUCUUUACAAGGAUUCACCUCGUGUUUACAAUUUCUCUUUCUUUUCAUUCUUUUGUUUACCGGAGUUCUUCAUGGAGGUUCUGCAUAAUGGUCCAUCAAGGAUUUAAUUCCUUUUCGAAGUGUUCAUCGAGAUUCUUUUCAAAGGAGCUCAAGCUUUCUUCAUAUUGUAAUCCGGAGUGCUUUCUUUAUUCCGUAUCAUUGGAGGUGGUAUUAUGUCAUUCUUGAUAAUUGGAAUUCAUGUUUCAUGAUUCACAUGUUGUCAAGAAUGAGAUAUUUUAAAUCCAUCAAUCUCGUCAUUGGAGUUACCUUGGGUUAUAUUUCACCUAAAGCCUUCCCUGAGGAUUGUUGCUAUUUAUGGUGCUUAUAAUUGACCCAAGUUCUUCUAUUAUCCUCCCGGUGAAUUAAGUUUCUCGUCUCCUUGUUCAUAUAAAUCCAAUCAAUUCUUUUCCCGUGAGUGGCAGGCUGUCACCUCAUAAUUUGAGAUGUUUUCCAUAAGACCAUAUCAAGUUUAUUCUUUUCGUGGUGGAUUGUUUCAACAACUCCGUGUGAAGAUGCUUUCAAGCUCAUUGGAGGUAGAAGAUGUUGUUUUCUUCUCCGUUCUUUUGUUCCGUCGAUACAACUUCUAUUCUUUCGUUCCGGAGGCAUCAUGUUGUUGUUCUCUUCAACCCAUCUUCUUGUUGUGUCAAGAUCAUGUUCUUUUCAUGAUUGUCCAUUUAACCGGAGUGUCGAGCCCUCUUUUCAAGUUCUAUCACCUUAUCAAGUUAUUAUUCAAUUCCUUUUCUUUUCAACCGGAGUGCUGCCCGAAUUUUGGUUUUCCUUGAUCCCCUUCCUUAACCGGAGCGUUUUUCAAUAUAUAUCUUGCCCUUCAACCUCAAGGGUUUUUUGCAAUGUUCUUUGUCCCUCUUUUCUAACGGAGUGGUUUUCAACUUCGUCAUCUUCGUUGUAUUCUUUUCUCGAAAUGGUUUAACCUUUUCAAGGUUCAUGGUUUCACUCGUUUGUCGAAGAAGCAACUUAGUUUACCUAUUCUCUUUCUCCUCCGUUUUCCCUCCGGUGCCAUUCUAGAUCUCGGGACGAGAUCCUCUCGUAGUGGUGGAGUGUUGUGACGCCCCGAGACCGAUGUGCCAGGUGUCCUCCGGUUAUUCGUUGUCGUUGCCGUGUCAUUCGCUUGGGUGUUGCAUUUUAUCAUGUCAUCAUGUGCAUUGCAUCAUCAUGUUUUUAAAACUUGCAUUCGUCCGGGUUCUCCGAGUUCUCUCCGUUGUCCGUUUUGAGCCCAGACACACUUGCACGCGCCCGCGGCAUGUCCGAAAUAUUAUUUUAUAAGUGGCCAGAAAAUGUUCUCGGAAUGGGAUGAGAUUUGACGUGUGGUCUUAUUAUAGUGUAGAUAGACCGCCUGUCAAAUUUCAUCGCAUUCGGAGUUCGUUUGAUGCCCCAACGGAUAACUAUAGCGGCAGUAUAGCCGGUCUAACGUCGGACAUCUUCGGUCUUCGAAAACUGUUGUCGGGCUUUCCCUCUCUUCUCUUCUCUCAGCUCGAGACCGUCUACACAACUCAUUACCUACCGCCAGGUCCAACCUAACCCCUCUCGUCAGCCCGCAGCCCCCCUCGCGCGCGUCCGAAAGUUGUCCCGAACCGACCCGGGGAGUCAUCACCGUUGUGUCCGGAACAUCCCCAAACAUCUACAAAACGUCUCCGUUUUCUUAUUUGGACUCCCUAGCUAUUUUAUCCGCGAUCUUCCGUUUGCGAUCGUAGGGUCGAGAUAGCCCCUAACCUAAUAUCCACCUGCUAUAUAUAUGUAUCAGUCCAACCCUAAGACCCAGAGGUUUGUCCCACCUCCGCCGCCACUCUUCUGGUUCCCCUCGGGAUCCCUCCCGAUCUAUCCACUCGAACCAGCCACCGAAUCCCCUCCUCCUCGAUUUCAGCUACCAACCAACCAGCGCCCACCCUCUCGAUCCAGGAGCCGAGCUCCCCUGCCAGGCCGACCUCGCCUCCAUUUUCUCUCCCUCGUUCCUCUCUCUCAUCCCAUUCCCUCUCUCUUUGUUUCUUCACGCAGGAGCCGCAUCGCAGCAUGGCCGGAGCUCCUUCCUCGACACUCGUCGCCGACCCCCCCUGUUUCUUCGGUCCCAGCAGGAGACAAGCCGCCGGAUCUGACGCCUCACCAGGGAACGCCUUGGCCGCCGCACCAUGGAGCCACUUCGACCUGGACCCCGGCCGGAUCGACGCAGCCCGCCGCCGUCCUGCUUCGCUAGCUCGGGCAUGAGCGCCCCGUCUUCCUCCUCGUCGCGCGGAUCCAGGAAGAGCCCCCGCCAGCACCGCCGCUCCUCUACGCCCUCGCUGCCCAAGUCGCCUGCAUCCCCUGCUUCGUGAACGAGAAGACCGGCGCCGCACCUUCGUUGACUUGUCCCAGCGCCAGCGUGGACGAGAUCCACAUCGCCCGCGCCUGGGUCUUCUCGCCCGAGGCCCAGCUCCUCCCGAGCCGGCCCCUCUCCAUGUCGCCCACUCCCUGGCGUCAAGCCAGAUCCAGCAGGCCUAGCGCCUCCCCAAGGCCCAGACCGCGCCGGCCUCACCCGGCCUGCUACCUCCUCCUCCUCACCGACUGGGCUUGGCCCAUGGUGAGAACUCCCCCAGCGCCCAUCUUUUUUUUCCGGUUGUUGGGCCAGCUAGUUUCGGCCCAGUGCAGUUUUUUUUCCUAGUUCUGCAAUUCUGCUAUUUAACCGGGGAAUUAUAGUUUUACAGAAAAGACCCUUUUGUUCAUGCAUUUAAUAACUCACUAACCGUGCAUCGGAUUAAAAUGUUUUAUAUAUGAAACUUGCUCAAAAUUUUGUGUAGAUUAAUAAUAUGCAACUUUCACCCAUGUUUAAAAUGUUAAAAAUGUUGUUUGCAUUAAUUUGCUCCUAUGCCAUGUUAAAAUGAUUUGUUUCAUAACUAAAUAACCGUAGCUCUGAAUUUAAUAAACUUUAUAUGUAAAUGGGGUAGAAAAAUGUCUAGUUUAACAUGGUGCACUCAUCUUGCAUGUUUAACAACUCGAAAAUUAUGUUUAGGGCAGAACAGUACCUAACCUAAUAUAUGCACAUGAGGAGUCCCGGAUUUGUUGUUUGUUGUUCACGGCCUCAUUUAACCUUGACUAGAUAGGUAGUUUUCUUUUUGUUUCCCCUCUUGCCAUGUUUAACAACAUUUAAUAUUGUUGGGUACAUAAACGAGAUCGAACUAAAUAAUUGAUGUGGUGCUCCGUCAAUAUGCAACUCGUUGCAUAUUGAGCUUCCACUUAAUUUGUAGUUUUGCUUGUGCAUUUUGCCAUGCCAUGGUUCAUUAAACUGGACAUGCAUCAUACUUGAUUGUGCAUCAUGCCAUGUUCAUGUCGUGGUUGUUUACUAUGUUUGUUUGUUUUCUUUCCGGUGUUGCUUCUUCGGGUUGGGUCCGGUAACGUCGAGUUGUGAGGAUUCGUUCGACUUCGUUCGUUUGUCUUCUUCAUGGACUCGUUCUUCUUCCUUGCGGGAUUUCAGGCAAGAUGAUCAUACCCUCGAAAUCACUACUAUCUUUGCUAUGCUAGUUUGCUCGCUCUUUUGCUAUGCCAAUGCUACGAUGCCUACCAUUUGCUUGUCAGCCUCCCAAAUUGCCACGUCAAACCUCUAAACCCACCAUGUCCUAGCAAACCGUUGAUUGGCUGUGUUACCGCUUUGCUCAGCCCCUCUUAUAGUGUUGCUAGUUGCAGGUGAAGAUUGGAUGCCGUUCCUUGUUGGAAUAUUUAUUUACUUGUUGGGAUAUCACUAUAUAUCUGAUUUAAUUAAUGCAUCUAUAUACUUGGUAAAGGGUGGAAGGCUCAGCCUUAUGCCUGGUGUUUUGUUCCACUCUUGCCGCCCUAGUUUCCGUCAUAUCGGUGUUAUCUUCCCGGAUUUUGCGUUCCUCACGCGGUUGGGCUAUAAUGGUAACCCCUUGACAGUUCGCCUUAAGUAAAGCUUUUUCAGCAAUGCCCAACAUUGGUUUUACCAUUUGCCACCUAGCCUUUUCUUUUCCCUUGGGGGUCGCGCGCCCAAGGGUCAUCAUUAUUUUUAACCCCCCCGGGCCAGUGCUCCUCUGAGUGUUGGUCCGAACUGAGCUGCCUGUGGGGCCACCUCGGGGAAACUUGAGGGUUGGUUUUACUCGUAGCUAGUCUCAUCUGAGUGUGCCCUGAGAAAGAGAUAUGUGCAGCUCCUAUCGGGAUUUGUCGGCACAUUCGGGCGGUGUUGCUGGUUUAGUUUUACCCUGUCGAAAUGUCUUGUUAUACUGGGAUACCGAGUCUGAUCGGAAUGUCUCGGGUGGAGGUCUAUUCCUUCGUUGACCAUGAGAGCUUGUGAUGGGCUAAGUUGGGACACCCCUGCAGGGAUUUGAACUUUCGAAAGCCGUGCCCGCGGUUAUGGGCAGAUGGGAAUUUGUUAACGUCCGGUUGUAGAAAACCUGAACUUGACCUUAAUUAAAAUGAAUCAACCGCGUGUGUAACCGUGAUGGUCUCUUUCUGGCGGAGUCCGGGAAGUGAACACGGUGUUGGAGUUAUGCUUGACGUAGGUAGUCUAGGAUCACUUCUUGAUCAUACUUUUAUCGACCGUGCUUUGCCUUCUCUUCUCGCUCUCAUUUGCGUAUGUUUAGCCACCAUAUAUGCUAGUCGCUUGCUGCAGCUCCACCUCAUAUCUUGCCUUACCUAUGAGCUUAAAUAGUCUUGAUCGCGAGGGUGCGAGAUUGCUGAGUCCCCGUGGCUCACAGAUACUUCCAAAACCAGCUUGCAGGUGCCGAUGAGUCUGUGCAGAUGACGCAACCAAGCUCAGGAGGAGCUCGAUGAAGAUCUUGUCCUUUGUGUUGUUUCAUUCUAGUUGAUCAGUAGUGGAGCCCAGUUGGGGGUGAUUGGGACCUUUGUUGCAUUUGGGGUUCUUCUUUUAUUUUGGUUCCAUAGUCGGACCUUGAUUGUAUUUGUUUGAUGUAAUGCUUUAUUCUUGCAAUUGUCUGAAGUGGCGAUUGUAAGCCAACUAUGCAUCUCUUUCCCUUAUGAAUUACAUGGGUUGU
rnacentral:lncRNA from 1 species